CCGGGAUUUCGUAACCGCUUUUUAAACCUGCCAUCCUUGCGGAACGGAGUGUGGUUGAGCAUCGACUCCAUCGAGCUUUUACGCCCCUAGCCACUGGGCAGAAGGUGGACGACCUUUGACAAGUCUCUAGUAGAAUGGAGCAAACUUCACUGCCAGAAGAAGUGAAAAAAAAACACGAAUAAAUCUCUCACGACUGGGGCGUACGUCACAAAGGGACUGCAACAAAGUAUGGAGCGGCCAUUUUUUUGCCGCCAUUGUCCACUAGCAUUACCAGGGAAGACUCAUCUUCGAAAGGACAUUCCGAUCAUACGUGCACGUGCUCACUGACUGGAGAACCGUUUAAAUGGCGGAGAAUGGGAUCCCA